GUCCUCCAACUCUCUGAGAUUCCCUAUCUACUCGUCGAGUAUCCUCCUUGACCCGACGAGUUACUCCUGGAAGAAUCGCGGGGCCACCCCGACUCAACUCGCCGAGUCUGAAGAACAACUCGACGAGUCCCAGUUAAUCUUCAAGCUACUCGCCGAGUCUGUUCAUCGAACUCGGCGAGUCCAUGCCAUGCAACCGCUCAAACUGCAUCCUAAGGUCAGAACUGCUUCGACCAUUCCUAGGUCUGGCCUUCCUAGGCUGAUCCAUCACGUAAAGUCCUCAUUUCAGUGCUCAUGAUACACCAUAUGAUUCAUAAUUUACAUUUUGACCUAAGGCAUAAGGAUUCCAAUCCAAAACCUUCAUCAAUUCCCGAAAUGCACAGACAUGGGACAUUCUGGACCUCCAAAGGUCCCAAUACAGGGUUACAAUCGAUUAGGGGACUAGGGUAACAUUCAAUCUAUUCACAAAAGGGUUCCAUAAACCCUAAUUCCAUAAUCACAUCAACAUAGCAGAGUAUACUCGAAUUCUUACCUGGAUGAUGUAUCCUCUGUGUCCCCAAUCCUCAGAAUGUGACUCCCUUGCUGCUCCUUUAGCCAAUCCCUUCUCUUCCUUGCACAACCACUCUUCUAUAAUCAACAAUGGCCUAUAAUCCUUGCUCCAGAUGCACACAAUCGAUUUAGGGUUCUUCUCAGAAGGCUAAAAUGAACAAUGACGGCCAAUGAGUCCCUUUUAUACGUCCCAAACCUGAACGGUUAGGGUUUUCGCUAAACAGCGUAGACUCGCCGAGUCCAUAUCUGGACUCGUCGAGUCCAGUCGCGAACCCGCGACCAAGUCUGCGAUCCUACUCGGCGAGUCUAGGCUCCAACUCGCCGAGUCCCCUCUUAAAUCACCCCAAAAACAUAAUUUAACAAUACCUGAGAUUUCGGGCUGUUACAACUCUCCCCCACUAGGAUUAGACUUCGCCCUCGAAGUCUCACUCUGAAAAUAGUUCCGGAUGCUGCUCCCGCAUCUCACGUUCCGGCUCCCAAGUCAUUUCCGAUCCCUUACGGUGUUGCCACUGAACCAACACCAGAGGUACCUCCUUGUUCCUCAGAACCUUGAUCUUCCGAUCCCUGAUGGCCACUGGUCUCUCGGCAUAAUUCAGGCUCGCAUCCACCUGAAUAUCCUCCAAUGGAACCACUGCCGACUCAUCGGCUAUGCACUUCCUCAAUUGCGACACAUGAAAAGUGUCGUGGAUCUGUCCCAACUCCGCUGGCAACUCCAACCGAUAGGCUACCCGGCCUAUCCUUGCAAUCACACGAAAUGGCCCAAUAUACCGGGGCCCCAACUUGCCCCUCUUCCUGAAUCGAAUCACUCCUUUCCAAGGAGAGACCUUCAGGAGAACGAAGUCGCCGACUUGAAACUCAAGCUCGGAUCGGCGCCUGUCUGCAUAACUCUUCUGUCGGCUCUGGGCGGUCAAUAACCUCUGUCUAACUUGCUGAAUCUGCUCUGUCGUCUGAAGCACGAUCUCUGUGCUGCCCAUCACUCUCUGUCCCACCUCUCCCCAGCAAAUGGGGGUCCGACACCUCCUACCAUACAACAGCUCAAAAGGUGGCAUACCAAUGCUCGAAUGAUGGCUGUUGUUGUAGGAAAACUCUGCUAAGGGUAAAUAUGCAUCCCAGCUACCCCCGAAGUCUAACACACACGCUCGAAGCAUGUCCUCCAGCGUCUGAAUCGUCCGCUCGCUCUGACCGUCUGUCUGGGGAUGGUAUGCGGUACUAAAAUGCAAUUUAGUACCCAGCUCCUCAUGGAAUUUCUUCCAGAACCUGGAAGUGAAGCGCACAUCACGGUCUGAAACAAUCGAGAUCGGCACUCCAUGCCGAGAUACCACUUCUCUCACAUAUAUCUCCGCCAACUUCUCCGCUGAAGAACUCUCGCUGAUGGCAAGGAAGUGUGCACUCUUCGUCAACCUAUCCACAAUCACCCAAAUUGCAUCAACUCCCCUGGCAGUCCUCGGCAAUUUGGUGAUGAAAUCCAUAGUGAUCUGUUCCCACUUCCACUCGGGGAUCUCCAAUGGCUGUAACUUGCCAUGCGGUCUCUGGUGCUCGGCCUUAACCCUACGACAGGUCAAGCACCUCUCAACGAACCAUGCGACGUCCCUCUUCAUACAGGGCCACCAAUACUCUUUCCUCAAAUCCAAAUACAUCUUCGUAGCACCGGGAUGGAUCGAGAAUUUCGAUCUAUGAGCCUCUUCCAUCAAAGUAAUACGCGUACCGCCCACGAACGGUACCCAAAUCCGACCCUGAAACGUCAUAAGCCCUCGUCCAUCCUUAACGAACUCUGAAAUUAACCCAACAACCCGCUCUUUCUUCUGCAUCUCUGGUCGCACAGCCUCGGCCUGUGCCCCACGAAUAGCAUCCAAUACUGGAGUCAUCACAGUCAGUCUCAAGCAUACAUCUCGCAAUGGAGUGCUCUCCGCCCUGCGGCUCAAUGCAUCGGCUACCACAUUAGCCUUGCCUGGGUGGUACAGGAUCUCACAAUCAUAAUCCUUGACCACAUCCAACCACCUCCUCUGACGCAUAUUUAGGUUGGGCUGAUCCAUCAAAUACUUCAAGCUCUUAUGGUCCGUGUAUAUCGUACAUCGAACCCCAUACAAGUAGUGACGCCAAAUCUUGAGAGCGAACACUACUGCCCCCAACUCUAAAUCAUGCGUGGGAUAUCUCGCCUCAUGAGGCUUCAGCUGCCUCGACGCAUAAGCUAUCACAUGACCCCUCUGCAUCAACACUGCACCCAGUCCCGAAAUCGAUGCGUCGCAAUAUACCACAAAAUCUUCCAUCCCUUCUGGGAGAGCUAAUACCGGGGCUUCGCACAACCUCUGGCGAAGUGUCUCAAAGGAGGUCUGCUGCUCGGGCCCCCAUGAGAAUGCAACACCCUUCCGGGUCAAUCUGGUGAGUGGCACUGCGAUCUUGGAGAAAUCCUUAAUGAAUCUCCGAUAAUACCCUGCCAACCCAAGGAAACUCCUGAUCUCAGAGGGUGACUUCGGCACCUCCCAACUCAUCACCGCCUCAACCUUGGCCGGAUCGACCAAUAUCCCUUUCUGAUUAACAACAUGUCCUAGAAAUUGGACCUCCCGCAACCAGAAGUCACAUUUGGAGAACUUUGCAUAAAGCUUCUCCGACCUCAAUACCUCAAGGACCUCCCUCAAAUGCUCCUCAUGCUGCUCUCUAGAUCUCGAAUACACCAGAAUGUCGUCGAUAAAUACAAUCACUGACCGAUCCAACAUCGGUCUGCAUACCCUGUUCAUGAGAUCCAUGAACACAGCCGGGGCAUUGGUGAGCCCGAAAGGCAUCACCACAAACUCAUAAUGCCCAUAUCGCGUCCUAAACGCUGUCUUCUGGACAUCCUCAUCCCGCACUCUCACCUGAUGGUACCCUGACCUCAGAUCGAUCUUGGAAAACCAAGAUGCUCCCUGCAACUGAUCGAAUAAAUCAUCGAUCCUCGGUAACGGGUAACGGUUCUUGACCGUCAACUUGUUCAACUCCCGGUAAUCAAUGCACAUCCGGUGUGAACCAUCCUUCUUCUUGACGAACAGAAUAGGUGCUCCCCACGGCGAGCUGCUCGGCCGAAUGAAUCCCUUCCCCAGCAACUCCUGGAGUUGCGAGGACAACUCUUGCAUCUCUGGAGGUGCAAGACGAUAAGGCACCUUAGCAAUAGGCGCGGCCCCCGGAACCAGAUCGAUACCAAACUCUACUUGCCUCACAGGAGGUACUCCCGGCAGCUCCUCGGGGAAAACAUCUGGAAACUCACGCACCACAGGGACCUCCUCAACUGACUUCGGUCUCUCGGAAACCUCCCGCGUAUCCAUCACAUACGCCACAAAACCCUUACAGCCCUGCUGUAGACACUGCCUCGCCCUAGCGGCCGAACAAAAAGCUGAUCCCGAACGGGUACCCUCGCCGUACACCGAAAGAACUCCCCCACUAGGGUCUCGUAUAGUCACCAACUGACGCUCACAGUCGAUGACAGCGCCGAAUCGGCUCAACCAGUCCAUGCCCACGAUGACACAGACAUCACCCAUCGCAAUAGGAAUCAGGUCAAUCGGGAAUUCAACCCCGAAAAUCUCUAGUACACAUCCCCGAAGAACCUCCGUAGCACAAAUCACUUUCUCGUCAGCUAUAGAAACUCUCAAAGGUCGACUCAACGACUCACGACUAACGCCGAUAUGCUGACUAAAGGCUAAGGACACAAAGGACCUACUCGCACCCGAGUCAAAUAACACUAAGGCAGGCACAGAGUUCACAAGGAAAGUACCUACGCGCAUAAUAACAUAAGCAUAACAUAUCGACAUUAAAAUAAUUACAUGAAUUACAACAUACCUGCCACAACAUCGGGCGCAGCGCGGACCUCCUCCGCAGUCAGCUGAAAGGCUCUUCCCCGAGCCCUCGGGGCCUCGGCCUUCACCGGUCGAGUCGCAGUAACUCCGGCAGCAGGUGCAGAUCCCUGAAGAAGCUGAGGGCACUCGGCCUUCCUAUGGCCAGUCUGGUUGCAAUGAAAGCAAACCGUAAAUCCCUUGGGGCACUCCCUAGCAAUGUGCCCCUCCUUGCCACACUUGUAGCAAGCACCAGAUCGACAUACUCCAUCAUGACUCUUGCCGCACUUCCCGCAAGUGCGACCCUUCGAACCUCCUGUCCUCGAAUCAGCGGACUUGGUCCGCUUGGCUGCCGGCUGGAACUGAGCCGGUCGCCGGUCCACCCGCUGAGACUCGGCCUCCUCCCUGGCCUGGGUCUCCAACUCGAUCUCGCGCUUCCUGGCAUUCGCCUGAAGCUCAGCAAAAGUAUGGUAAGUGGAGUUUGACACAAACUCCCGGAUAUCCCUCCUCAACACUCCCAAGUACCGGCUCAUCCGAGCCUGAUCUGUGGACACCAGCUCGGGGCAGAACAUCGCCCUCUCAUGAAACUUCCGCGUGAUCACCGCAACAGAAUCAGUACCCUGCUUGAGGGUUAAGAACUCCUGAACCAAUCGUUCCCUCUCCACCGGGGGAACGUACUCAUCCCUGAACAUGGCAGUAAACCCCUCCCAUGUCACUGCUGUAGUCUCUGCCAAAGUGAAGUUCGCCGUCACGAACUUCCACCAGUCCUUCGCUCCCAGACGGAGCUGGUUCAAAGCGAACCGUACCCUCAGGUGCUCCGGGCAUGAACAAGUGUAGAAGCACCCCUCUAUAUCCGCGAUCCACCUCAUCGCAGCAAUCGGAUCCUGCGUCCCAUCGAACUCUGGUGGCUUCGUGUUGCUGAACUCUCGGAACAGCAACGAGUCACCCCCCUGUGGCCUAGCAGCGGCCACAGCUGCGGUAGCUGCAGCGGUUGCAGCCUCAGUCAAUGCGGCGUACCGCUCAUCAAACGUCUCCAUCAGGGUGGUCUUAAUAGACCCAAACAUCUCCGGGAUCUCAGCCCGGAUCGCCGCAGCUACCUCCUCGUGAAUCAUCUGACGAAUCUCCUCGUCACUCACACCGCUCGAACUCGCUCCGUGGCGUGGUCUAACCAUGAUGUCUCUGAAAUACAACAUAAAACUAUCAGAGACUCCAUCGAGUAUAAUCGCACUCGAUAACGCAACCCUACUCAGUCUCCGAUAUCCAGGGAUUCUUACUUGGGUCUCCCACUGACCCGGUGUCUUCGGUAGUACGGGCCCAAUACUACCGACCACACCGCAUCAGCAUUCAUCCCAAAUCUUCCUCCCCAAACCCCGGAUAGUGAGUACUCUACUUCUGUUAUGCACUAUCUACCCGCACACUAGCAAAGCAUCUCAUAUCGGCAAACUUCCCUAGACUAAGGCAUCACAAAUCAGGCCACUCUAGUCCUAUCAUGAAUACCUAGUCUUCUAGCAUGCAUAACAAUUCAUAUCAUAUAAUAUUGUAAGGUAUUUUGGGGAUCUUUACCGUUCGGGCGCUGACUGAUCGUACACACUGCUUCUUUCUUGCUUACCACAAAACCAUUUACAAAAGUUUAUGCCUUUAUUUAAAAAGUUUUCCUCAAAUCCUCGGUUUGAGUUCAGUUACUCCCGAAGGUGCACCCGAAUCCCUCAAACCAAGGCUCUGAUACCAAUUGUAACAACGCAAAUUUUCAAACAAAUUUUUCAUUUUAAAAAUAAAGUAUUUCCAUUCAAAACAAGGCAUAAAUAAUUUAAGUGUCAUGUCAAAUACAAAUUGUCUAAAUCCCAAGAUCAUAAAAACAUUCUUCAGUGUGUAUCGAUCACGCCGGCGCCUUCCCACGGUCCUCGCUAGUACCUGAAACACAUACAUAACAACUGUAAGCAUAAAUGCUUAGUGAGUUCCCCAAUAUACAACUUACGCACAUACGCCUUUCCAGGCCCUGACCUUCCGGUCCUCAACACAACGCCUUCCGGCCCAUAACAUAAUCGCCUUCCGGCCCAUAACAUAUUGCCUUCCGGCCCACAUAACAUACAUAGCACAUAUAACAAAUAACUUACCACAUAUAGCAUACAUAUCACAUAUCAUAUCUGACCUUCCGGUCACACAGUCAAACCCUUCCGGGUACAGUAUAGUGAGAAGACUCACCUCGUGAAUGCUGAAAGCUAGCAAAUCCUGAAAUCACUCGUGCACAAUCCGACGAGCUACAACCUCCCUAUAACAUCACAUAUCUCUCAUUAACACUUAUAUCUUCUAAGUGUGACUAUCCCUAAGAAGUCAGACUUAGGUCAACUCUGGUCAACGGUCAACGGUCAACGGUCAACUCGACCGGACUCGGCGAGUGCCAUGGCGACUCGGCGAGUCUAGACGUCCUCCAACUCUCUGAGAUUCCCUAUCUACUCGUCGAGUAUCCUCCUUGACCCGACGAGUUACUCCUGGAAGAAUCGCGGGGCCACCCCGACUCAACUCGCCGAGUCUGAAGAACAACUCGACGAGUCCCAGUUAAUCUUCAAGCUACUCGCCGAGUCUGUUCAUCGAACUCGGCGAGUCCAUGCCAUGCAACCGCUCAAACUGCAUCCUAAGGUCAGAACUGCUCCGACCAUUCCUAGGUCUGGCCUUCAUAGGCUGAUCCAUCACGUAAAGUCCUCAUUUCAGUGCUCAUGAUACACCUUAUGAUUCAUAAUUUACAUUUUGACCUAAGGCAUAAGGAUUCCAAUCCAAAACCUUCAUCAAUUCCCGAAAUGCACAGACAUGGGACAUUCUGGACCUCCAAAGGUCCCAAUACAGGGUUACAAUCGUUUAGGGGACAAGGGUAACAUUCAAUCUAUUCACAAAA
rnacentral:lncRNA from 1 species